AUUAUUACCCGGUCGGACACAUUAUUUUAUAAAUUCUUGUUAAAUUCUUAUUUUGAGCGAAUGUGAGUUGUGAUAUGUCAAUGAAGGACAAAAGCUGGAAUGUGAACAGAGGAAGGGGUCGUAACGUUACGUGGUCUGUAAAAAUACUGGUGAUAUCACUUCAGGUCAAGCAUUGGAAUAAGAUUUUUUCGGGGGGAGAACACCCAAAUAGAGACAAAUCCACUAACUACAUGAAAGGUCAUGUCACCUUCAUCAGUCCUUUAUUUAAUUAACUGGAAA